rnacentral:lncRNA from 1 species
AGUCUGUAUGUUCAACACAGGAAAAUUGUGACAAACGCACUAUUGCAUGCCGACAGACAUACAGGAUUGAAAUACUGAAAAUUACAAGUGUAACAAUAGCCGGCGUUAAAAUCUCCGUAUUGCAUUAAUGAUGGACCAAUAUAACAGCCCUCCCGCAUUCAUGCCUAUGCCUACGUUUAUAAAAUGGCACAGGUAUUCUACCCUUCACAACAAACCACUCCUCCAUUAUAUAACAACAUGAUAAUUAUGUUGCUUGUGAAAACCAUCACGUGAUCGUGGUGAAUGAAAAUAUAUUAAGCACGUGAAAAUUGUCAAUAGUAAACGCAUUAUUGCAUGCCAACGGACAUACAGGAAAAUGACAAAUAUGACAAUAGCUGACGUUAAAAUCUUCGUACUGCGUAAAUGACGUACAGUUAUCGGCACGGAUAUCGAGCCAUGACCUUCACCUGCGCAGAAGCGAUUUACUGCCUUAUUGCCUUAUGCGUAGGGUGAGCAAAGCGAUUCCCACUCUUCCGCCGAGAGCCCAAUAUCCGUGCCGGUAUCUGUACGAAUACAACUGUCAAUCUAACUCGGACAUAGUCACUGUUAUCGGUAAAAAUGAAAUCAGCAUCGCUGCCAGCCAAGUAGCAACAUCGAUACAAAUACUGCUUACCUACUUCUUUUCACCCUUCACAACAAAUCACUCCUUUAUUACAAGACAACAUUGUAAAAGAAGUACCAUACGUGUUCCCAGAAGACCAAGUUGCUAAUGCAAAAACAAUCGGCACAGAUAUUUUACCCUUCACAACAAAUCACUCCUCGAUGACAAGACAACAUUAUAAAUAUGUUGCUUGUGAAAA